rnacentral:rRNA from 1 species
UACGGAGGGUGCGAGCGUUGUCCGGAAUCACUGGGCGUAAAGGGCGCGUAGGCGGUCUGCUAAGCGUGCGGUGAAAGCCUGGGGCUCAACCCCAGGUCUGCCGUGCGAACUGGUGGACUUGAGCACUGUAGAGGCAGGUGGAAUUCCGGGUGUAGCGGUGGAAUGCGUAGAGAUCCGGAAGAACACCGGAGGCGAAGGCGGCUUGCUGGGCUCGGUCUGACGCUGAGGCGCGAAAGCGUGGGGAGCGAACAGG